UCCCAGGACCUCGUCCCCGCGCUGACCCUGCGUGGGGGAGGAGACCUCGAGCAAGGUGUAGGCUUGCACGCCGCCGGAGGUGCAGCCCCGGGGACCGCUCAGGGAAUCGGCGCCCAAGGGCGCGCAGGAAGAGCAGGCAUGAGCCUUAUUGGGAGGGGGAAGGAAAAAACCCUCCACAAAUACCUCCUCUCUAAACUCUUGGCCUAAAUCAGGUCGAUGCUGCAGUCAGUUCUUGCACGCGGCCUUCUCGAAUUAGGCCGAUGAGAGCUGCAGGCGUGAGGCUGUUGGGAUACAGCCCAACCUUACUUGGAUGUUCUGUGACGCUCUUGCUCCUUUUACACCUGAUCCACCACCCCCGCCAGUCACUGUGAGAGGCAGUCCCACGGACCUCCUGGGGAUUAUUUCUUACCACUUCAUCUCCAAUCUGCGGCGUUUUUGCAGGCAGCUCUCCGUGCCAGUUCUUGUGCCUCCUGGUUUCCUUCAAGUUCCCGCUAAAACCCUACCGUUUACAAGUCUUUCUUGACCCCUCCGAACUGCUGCUACUUUCCCCCCAAUUAUCUUCUAUUUAUCCUGCGUAUUGUUGGAAGGGACAGAGUUGUUUUCUCGCAGUCUUCCCGAAAUCAUUUCGCUGAGCUUCCAGACACUGUCUUUUACCUUCUCUUGUACUCAGCACAGUGCCUGGUGCCUAUAGUCUUUGAGACCUGUGUGGGCUUUUCUCGGCAAAGAUACUGGAGCGGUUUGCUAUUUCCUUCAACGGCCAUUUGACAGAUGAGGAAACUGAGGCAAAUAGGAUGAUGUGGCUUGCCCACGGUUACAUGCAUAAGUGUUCCGAGGCCACAUUGGAGCUCACAAGGAUAAGUCUGACUCCCGGGCCCAAAUUCUAUCCAUUGGCACAUAGUAAACGCUUAAUAAAUGUUGGAUUGAUGAUCAGGACCAUGACUGCUCUUUUUUGGUUACCUUUUCUAUCUAAAAAUUCUUGAUUUCCUUAUCUGAAAAGACAGAAAAAGAGAAAGAGACAGGCAGAGAGAGCAAGAGAAUGAGAGACAUUUCUUAUAUAAUGGUAUUCAAGUCCAAGAAAGCAAAGAGAAAACAAUAUGGAUCACAUACUCUGGGGGAAGAGCAAAGACAGAUUCCAAAAGGCCUAAUUUAUACAUGAAAAGUUACCUGGAUAUAAAUCUAUGUUUAUAUCUAUUUUUGAAUAUUUUUCUUUGGGACCACAAAGGAGACAGAUGGAAUUCUACAAACUGGGAGCCAAAACGAGAAAGAAUUUCAUCAUUUAUUCUAGAAGCAGAUGACAAGAAACAGUAUCCAGAAAUUACUUCCAGAAGAUAAUUUACUUUGGACAAAGGAGCCCAGGAUGUUUAACGAAGCUAAUAUUAUCUAAACUUAAUCUGUAUGGAGUUCAAGUGUAGUAUAAAUACCACUACCUGACACAUGUAAAAUGCUACUUGAGUUGACUUGAAACUAUAUUUGUUCCCUUUGUUAUUCAGAACUUUACAAAGGAAAGGAAAAACUUUACUAACAUGAAGGUGAACAUUUACAUAAAUAUAGAACAUAAAAAAGAGAUUAUAUGUAUAUACUAAAAAUGUAUAUGCUGAAUUUAACAGAUUAGAAAUAAUAUUGCCCACUUGUCUAUAGUCCCUUUCUGAACUUCUUGCUAUUCUUUUCUGGAACAACCCACUCUUAAAGCUACAAUUCUUCCCCACUAGAUACCUUUCCAUAUGCAUUUAAAUUUCUUAGUAUAUAAAUUUUAGAAGGUGAUAAGGUCAGCUAUUAACUAUGUAAAGUACUACCCCUUUUCAGUUUGGCUUCAUGUAGAAAAAUACAAGACAUACCAAUGAAUUGCCUUAAUGUGUAAUUUUUACCCUUUGCCCACAGAUAGAAAAAACAAAACAGAACAAAACUCUUCAAUUUCUCUUGUGGCAGCCCUUCAUAAUUCUACAGCCUACCUUGUAUCAUAUUUAUUUGUGGACCUAUCUUAUUGACUCUAUUAGACUGUAUGUGCUGUGAGGUUAAAGUUUAUGUCACUUUUCAGCCUUUUUUCCCCCUCUAGUACCUUGCCUGAUACUAUGAACAUUUCCAUGUAUUUACUGAAUUUAAUUUAAUUGAUUGGUCCCUGCUUUGGGUAUUUUUGAUCAUGAAGUUCUCCCUGAACAGCCUAUCCAGUCUCGUGAAGAUAACUCUUUAUAUAUUUCUUUCAGGUUCCAGUUUACUCCCCAAAGUCUGGAGAACG
ensembl:lncRNA